rnacentral:lncRNA from 1 species
GCUUGCCGCUGCCGGGUAGCUGAUGCAGGACCGGCAUCCUAUUUUAUGUUGGCUUUCCGCCAUCGGCCGAAGAGCGAUAAAACACUUCGUCGCCAAUGCAAUUUUAAAUGGGCAUGCCAGCUUCGGUAAGUUCAUCACGAUACGCUGUAGCUUUGCCCACACAAUGCCAAAGUGGGCUUUUGGAUGGCGGUAAGCUGUCGUAAAAAACAUCAAAAGCAAGCGUUUCAAGCGCCAUGAGACUUUGAUUGGUCGAUAUCGAUAUAUAGUGAUUUAUGGUUUUAUUUUAUUAGUGUUUAUUAAAUACUAAGAGAUUUAGUUGCUUUUUUCUCCAUGUUGUUCAAGGGUUAUGUCGGCCAUGAUCCUAAUAUUAUCAUGGGUUUAGCAGAGUUGUUUAACUUGCAAACUGGAUUAAAGAUUUUGAAUAAAUUUUUGUGUUCUUAAUAUGGUCACAAAUUUGUACUUGUCUAAAACCCUCAAUCAUUUGAAAAUUAUGGCGCCGACAUGGUAGAUGUCCUAGAAAAAACUGGUAGUAACUCAAUGUAGAUACACAUAGUCGAUGGAGUUACUUGCUAAUAACUGGCAAUGAGACAUACUUGCUUCAAAUGAUGCCUUUAAAGUUUGAAAAGAUUUUUUCUAAUUCAAAUGUCGACUUUUUGUUACAUGAAAAAAUUAUACUUAUUUCAACCCCUCGACUAUAUUGAUACACUUAGUAUGUGGAGUUACUUGUCAAUAGCUGGCGAUGAAACUUUUAAACGUAACGUCUUUAAGGGCUGAGAAGGUAAAAAUUAGAAGUCUGCAGACUGCAACGUAAAUCGAUUUCAACACGUUAUGGCUUCUCGAAUAUAUUUAGUUUCCGAUUGAAAUGAGAAUAAACUGAACUUAUAUAUAAAGUGUUUACAAUUAACUUUUUAAACUAGAAAUACUCCAAAGGAGGUUCUCCAAACGCAAGUUAAGCAAAGUCGAUAGAUGUUAAUAUCUUUUAUAUUUUGUUUUAGAUAUAAGAAAAAAUUUUUGUGACUUUAAUAUUUAUGUUAUAAUUGUAAAUUGCAAUCUUAAAAGGAUUUUAUUAUUACUUCA